ACACCUACCUAUAGAGAGACCUCCAAACAGACAUCAACAUAGAAACCUCCGCAGAGAUAACCAGAUCUCCAUAUGCAAACCCAUGUAAAAAGAAACCUAGAGAAACAGACGCCCAGAUGAAGAGGGGUUUCCAGACAGAUUCUUGGCUGACAUUUCUGUCAGUGGUGUGAAAGGACAUUUACCCAGAUUCUAUAGAUAUUUUGGUUAUGCACUCAACAAACCUACAAUGAAACUACCAGAAUACAAAAGCAAUUGUGAACUCCAGAGAGUGCUAGAAAACAUUAUGGAAGAGGGUAUAGUUUAUGUUAAUUAUAGAGGACUAAAGAGAUGUAGAAUAGGAGAACUGAAAAAGCCUCCACUUCCAGUGGCUCUUAGAGUGUAAUUAGUCCAAGGGGCAGCAAGCUGCCUUCUAGCAGAAUCCUUGUGAUCCCAAAGCCCACAUGACCGGGGCCUCUCUCUGGUCCUUUAUACAGUAAUUAAUAUUUAAAUGAUCUCGCUAAACCCCUGUCAAGUCCUGAAGCAAGAUUUUGAAAAAUAAAAAAACUCAUAAAACACAAAAUGGAACAAAA